rnacentral:snRNA from 1 species
GUGCUCGCUUCAGCAGCACAUAUACUAAAAUUGGAAUGAUACAGAGAAGACUAGCAUGGCCCCUGCACAAGGAUGACACACAAAUUCAUGAAGCGUUCCAUAUUUUU